rnacentral:rRNA from 1 species
CUGCUGCCUUCCGUAGGAGUCUGGGCCGUGUCUCAGUCCCAGUGUGGCCGUCCACCCUCUCAGGCCGGCUGCUGAUCGUCGCUUUGGUGGGCCGUUACCCCGCCAACUGGCUAAUCAGACGCGGGCCCAUCCUGUACCACCGGAGUUUUCAAAGGAUUACCAUGCGGUAUUCCCUAUUAUGCGGUAUUAGCACCUAUUUCUAAGUGUUAUCCCCCGGUACAGGGCAGGUUGCCCACGCGUUACUCACCCGUCCGCCACUAAGACAGA